ACGGGAGGCAGCAGUGGGGAAUAUUGGGCAAUGGGCGAAAGCCUGACCCAGCAACGCCGCGUGAGGGAAGAAGGUCUUCGGAUUGUAAAUCUCUGUCGCAGGGGACGAAGGAGUGACGGUACCCUGUGAGGAAGCCCCGGCUAACUACGUGCCAGCAGCCGCGGUAAUACGUAGGGGGCGAGCGUUGUCCGGAAUUACUGGGCGUAAAGGGUGCGUAGGCGGCACACUAAGUUGGAUGUGAAAUACCCGGGCUUAACCUGGGGGGUGCAUCCAAAACUGGCGAGCUAGAGUGCAGGAGAGGGAAGCGGAAUUCCUAGUGUAGCGGUGAAAUGCGUAGAUAUUAGGAGGAACACCAGUGGCGAAGGCGGCUUUCUGGACUGUAACUGACGCUGAGGCACGAAAGCGUGGGGAGCAAACAGGAUUAGAUACCCUGGUA
rnacentral:rRNA from 1 species